rnacentral:rRNA from 1 species
UACGGAGGGAGCUAGCGUUGUUCGGAAUUACUGGGCGUAAAGCGCGCGUAGGCGGCUUUGUAAGUUAGAGGUGAAAGCCUGGAGCUCAACUCCAGAAUUGCCUUUAAGACUGCAUCGCUAGAAUCCAGGAGAGGUGAGUGGAAUUCCGAGUGUAGAGGUGAAAUUCGUAGAUAUUCGCAAGAACACCAGUGGCGAAGGCGGCUCACUGGCCCGAUACUGACGCUGAGGCACGAAAGCGUGGGGAGCAAACAGG